rnacentral:tRNA from 1 species
GUGGGUAUAGCUUAGUGACAGAGUGCAUGCUUAGCAUGCACAAAGUCCUGGGUUCAAUCCCCGGUACCUCCA